ACAAAGGGUUUCUGCUCUGAAUGGCGCGUGGACGAGGAGCUUGCGCUUUAUCCAUGUGGAAUCGAUAUCAAGAGAUUUCGGAAGCGCAAUUUUCGUUUCUUGGAGCUGCUGGUGAUCAUUUGUCUUGGCGCUCCA